ACGACAAUCUCAUUGAAUUAUUAAUCUGUUCCCUUGUUAAUCUAGUAUCCAAAUUUUCAGAUGCUCUACCGAACAACGUCAUUACUCUACUACAGCAAUUUAUCGUCACUUUAAUCAAUAAAAAUGGCAGGUCACAAUCUCCUUCAAUGGAACUGUAAAAGCAUCAGAAGAGCUAUGAAGUCAUCCCCAACAAAUGCUCUUCAAAUUGAAUGCGUCGAGGCUCCUCUGCAGCUACGGCGACAAUUUCUGUCAGAUAGGUUAUUUUAAACUUGGAAAUAAAUAAGAACUCUCCAGGAGCUAAUGCAGAGUUCAACAGUAUCUCUGAAAGGAACUGGCCAGGUUGGCUACAUCUUUAUACAGAUGCAUCUAAAAUUUCGGAUUCCGAUAAUGUAGGAGCAGCGGUCUGGAUUCCAAAGUAUAAAAUAAUCCUUAAUUAUAAAUGCCCACCUAAAUGUUCAAUAUUUACAGAUUCUCUUAGUUGCCUUCAGGACAUCAUUAAAAAACCAUUUCACUCGAAGGAUAAUUUUUACCUGACUCUCAAAAUUAAGGAAGUUUUAUUUAAAUGCCAACAAUCGGGGAUUGAAGUUAUUUUGGCAUGGAUCCCAAGCCACAGUGGCAUAACAGGAAAUGAAAUCGCUGACCAAUGCGCCAAAGAGGCUAUCCGCACGGGUAGAGAGGUGUAUAACAAAUAAUUUUCUAGAGAUAUUCGUUGUCUUGCUAAACCACAUUUACAUAAAUCAUGGACGGAAAGGUGGAACAAUUCUAGGCUCAUAAAGGGUAAGCAUUAUGGUGGCAUCCAGCCAUUUGUUCCCAUAAAACCAUGGUUUUUUAAAUAUCGCAAUUUCGACAAACCUGU
rnacentral:lncRNA from 1 species